AUCUCUUCUUAGCCUUUUGGCAAAGAUCAAGGGCAGCAUCUGUUCUUACCAAUUUAAUGUCAGAUGUGCCUUCUCUCAAGGACAGCAUAGGAAAUGGAGUUUUGGAGCUGGGAGACUGGAAUAGGAACUAGCUCCACUCUGUGCAGGGACCUGGAUGGAAUAGCAGUGCUUCCAGGAGCAGUAGAUCUCCU